AUUGAACGCUGGCGGCAGGCCUAACACAUGCAAGUCGAACGAGUGGCGGACGGGUGAGUAAUGUCUGGGAAACUGCCUGAUGGAGGGGGAUAACUACUGGAAACGGUAGCUAAUACCGCAUACCAUCGGAUGUGCCCAGAUGGGAUUAGCUAGUGGGUGGGGUAACGGCUAACCUCGGCGACGAUCCCUAGCUGGUCGGAGAGGAUGACCAGCCACACUGGAACUGAGACACGGUCCAGACGCCUACGGUAGGCAGCAGUGGGGAAUAUGGGACAAUGGGCGCAAGCCUGAUGCAGCCAUGCCGCGUGUAUGAAGAAGGCCUUCGGGUUGUAAAGUACUUUCAGCGGGGAGGCGUUACCCGCAGAAGAAGCACCGGCUAACUCCGUGCCAGCCGCCGCGGUAAUUC
rnacentral:rRNA from 1 species